rnacentral:lncRNA from 1 species
GUAUCUUUCGCUUCUGUUUUUUCUUCUUCCUUAAACAAAGUUCCUGUUUUUUUCUUCUCCCAUAAACAAUGUAAGAAAAGUGUAUGUACAUUGCAACAGUGACUCCCAGAAGAAAAAUCAACAGAAAAUAGAAAAGAGCAUAAUUGAAGGAACAACAGAAUUGAAUACAAUACUAUAACAGAUAACUGCUAAACCGAGUUAACUACCCAGCUAUGCAUAAACAACCUAGGUUUCUCCAACAUCACAAGGUGUAAAAAGUAAAUACAGCAAAAAGAUGCUGAUAUGUUUAGCUCCAUGUGUGUAUAUCAUAAGGUGUUAUGUCACUGACAACACAGGUAAUUACCAACAUAACCCAACAACAAGUACUGAAUCAUAUAUCCAAAAAUUACACAGUAUAUUCUGAAGGAAUUGAAGCAAUUAAUUUUCUUGUGUUACAUGUUGGCACAGUACUGUAACAUCUUCUUUUCUUCUUCUUCUGAAGCAGUUGUGUGAAGGAGUAGAAGGGUUGUUCUGGCCCUCAAUAUUGGAAUCUUCUUCUGUUCCUGAAUCACGAGAACCCCUUCGUUUUCUCAGCCAGGGAAUCAUCAGGACCAAGAUGAAGAGAAGAACGAAGGCAGAGAGAAAAACCAGAAGCAAGAUCUUUCCAUGUAGGGCAAAGUUUUUAUCACUAGAGAAUUGAACCUCAUCUUCUUGUUCAGGGCUGAAAGAGGUGUUAGGGUAAGAGGUCAUAGCAAUAAGGGUAGAAAAACCAAAUGGUGAUAAUAAUAAUAAUUAUGGUUUAUAAUAUUUUCUUGAUAUAUAGAACUUUAUAUCUUCUGUGGAAAGUUUUUGAAUGGAGGUU